GUUUAGAAACCCCAUUACGGAAUGCCAAACAGAAUGCGGAAAAAGAUACACUUCAUUUCACUGUGUAAUAAUAGAAAGCGCAUAAGAAACCUCCAACAAUGCUUCGCGCGACUGUCGUAUGGUUCAAUCAACAUUCAGUACCAAUUAUCGCAUUGAUGACUAAAGGAUCGCUACCGCGGGUACUAAUUUUUAUGUAACAAUGGAGGCAGCUUAAGGGACAAAAACAAUUAUCAGAUCAUGCAUUGCAGACGCUUAGUUGUUCAGGUCAAGGCGCCAUCAAAGGUCAACAACACAUCUCGAGACGCAAAUUCUAAAUUUAAAUUCGGAACGGAGCACAGCUUUCCUGACUGUUAGCAUUAGCUAUUUUUCACAUCGUGCAGUUCAUUCGGAGCUAAGCAAACACGUAGACAUCUCGUCGCUGCAAAUUUGAAUCAAAAUAAUUUAUUUUCUACUGGCGGAGAAUUGUUUUUCAACUUUUACGACGCAUUUAGGGAGUGAAAUUGGUUCAACUCAAUUUGUUGAAAUUCUAGUGAAAAGGUCAA